AGCUUUGCGCAGUGGCAGUAUCGUAGCCAAUGAGGUUUAUCCGAGGCGCGAUUAUUGCUAAUUGAAAACUUAAAAAAAAAAAAAAAUAUUCCAGAGUACUCUACCUAUCUAUCCAUCCAUCCAUCCAUCUCCAUUUUUAAUAAGGAAAUUGGACUAUAAUUAUUUUAAGUAAUUUGCUCACACAG
rnacentral:snRNA from 2 species